UCCUGGGUGGAUGGAAGGUCAGCAUACUGGCAGUUUUCCUCACUACUUUCCAUUCACCUCUUAAAGUCUGGAGUUGCAGACAGCCUAUUUUGACUUCUGAGUAAAUGCAAGGAAUUUAUCUUGAAUCUACCAUUGCUGUUCAUGGUAGUUAUUUAAGUUGCAGUCUAUCACCACCUGCUUAAAACAUACAAAAGAUGAGAAGGAAGCAGGUUUUUCAGAAUUCUUAAGACUGUAGUGAUCACCUAUUAAGUAAAUUGUGCAUCCUUCCGAGGAAUUUUGCUGCAAUGAAUGUAAUCAAAAGGUUGUAUCAGGUGACAAACAUCAAUAUUUUUUCAGAACUUUGGACCCCAUGGGAAAGGUGCAAGGAAGUUAGGAAAGGAGACUGGAGAAGAAGGUAGAACAAGAAAUGGGGAAAAAAGGAACCUGCUAGUGAAAAACAUAAUGCCAUUGAUCAGUACUUGCUUAGUGGAGGUGAAAAGGUGAGAAACAACAUCCUGAUGUAUGAUGUUUAUACAGUUUCUCUCAAAUCUCAAAAUAUUGUUCUGCUUAUGAUGGAUAUGUUAUGAAACAACUGUUAGAAUGCUGAGAAGCUAUUUUGUCCUACUUUGUAUUCCUUUUAUUUUGUUAUGUCACUUAUUUCUAUCUUGUUUUCACUCCAUGGUUUCCGUUAUGAUCUGGUAUCAGGAAGGUAUCAAAUAGGUCACAGUGUCUUCAUACCACGUGCACCAUCUCUGUGCCAAUUUCAUCUUCUUGAAACCAGCACAUCCAUCCUCUUUCAAUACACUACUGCCUUGACCUACGUUGGCCACUAUCUGGUGCUUCCCAGCUACACUGAAGAAGAGAAAAUCAACUAUAUUAUCCUGUGGAACUUAGAAACUGGAAUGGUUUAAAAAUUAUUGAAAAAUGAGCCAGAUGUGUACUACUUGACAAUUACAGAUGAUGCCAGUAGAAUUGGUUUUGAAAUCAUGAAGGAAAGAUAAAAGUUUGCAAUCGAUUUGAACACCAGCAUACCGCUAUUCCAGGUUAUGAAGGCGUACAUCAUACUGUGAUCAGCAAACUCCAGCUGCUGGAGGAAAGGGCAAAAGCAGUC